AGCAGUAGCCGCGGUAAAACGGAGGGUGCAAGCGUUACUCGGAAUCACUGGGCGUAAAGGACGCGUAGGCGGAUUAUCAAGUCUCUUGUGAAAUCUAACGGCUUAACCGUUAAACUGCUUGGGAAACUGAUAAUCUAGAGUAAGGGAGAGGCAGAUGGAAUUCUUGGUGUAGGGGUAAAAUCCGUAGAUAUCAAGAAGAAUACCUAUUGCGAAGGCGAUCUGCUGGAACUUAACUGACGCUAAUGCGUGAAAGCGUGGGGAGCAAACAGGAUUAGAUACCCCCGUAGUCCCUGUCUCUUAUAC
rnacentral:rRNA from 1 species